GGAGCCCAGCUCCAUGCCAGCUGCCUCCUCUGCACCUUCAUGGCUCGGCUCCCUCUCACUGUGGCAGAGAGGGCCUGCCGAGCCCCCUGAAGUCAGCAGCCUACCGGGGGUGGCGAAGGGAGUGGAUGUCAAUCCCCAAAUGCGUGAGCUGGAAAAGACCUUGAUUCUCCAGCCACGUCAGGUCUUUUUCCAACAUGGGGCCAAGAUCAGCAUCAGCUGGGCCCCCCGUGAAGGAUGAGGUUUGGAAUGUGUGGGGCUGAAUGAAGGAGCGUGAUGCUGGGAGCCGGUUCCUGUGCCCGAGGCCCAGCGUUGGGCCACAUACUGCUGACAGGUGGUCACCUUGAACUUCUGCAGGGCAUCCUGGUGCGUCAGUCCGGCCAUCGAUUCACCGUUGAGUUCCAGGAUUUCAUCGCCUGUCGGGAGACAGAGAAAUGGCAGCUGAGAGUAGGGUUCCCGGUCAGGGGCAAUGUCUUUUCCUUGGACUCUGGUCUCGCCGACCUGCCCAGCCGCUGUACGAGGCACAAAGCACCGUGAAGGACCCUUCCUCGCUCUGAGCUGGCCCCUGAGAGGCAGGCAGGGCAGCAGCAUGGUCCCUGCCCACCCCUGGGUGUCACGUCCGCCCGGCCUCACACCAUUUGCUCCCAGGGACGGUCUCUGACGCAGCACAGCCAGCCUUCCCACAACGGUCUGUGCAGAUUGUUCUGGACUGUCAAGGUUUUGAGGGCCGACCCUGCCGUCUGUUGUUGCUGCUGCCUCUCGUCCAUGGGGGACAUUUCCUGGUACAGACUUCGGGGUGCAGUUGGAGGUGGGGAGAAAGCCCGGCCGCUCCAGGACAAGAAGACACAGGGCGCGGAGGACACAGCUCUGCACCCAGGCCCCUGCUGCCAGCUCAGCCAGGUGCUCCCCUCCCACAACGAGACAAAGGAGCCGAGAGGAGGCUGCUGACGGGAGAAAGACAGAGAGGACGCACCGCCUAUGAACCAGGAAAGGAGUUCUCGACAGACACUGAGUCUGCCGGCACCCUGAUCUUGGACUUCCAGCCUCCAGACGGUGAACGUAACUCCUGGAAAGCAUCAUACUGGGAACAACUGCCCCCUGUGAGCUGUGAGGGGCCAACCCGGCUGUCCUUCCUUCUGCAUCCACGGUGCCUCCAAAUCGUGAGCCAGAACCGCCCCUCUCGUCUUCCUCCUGCCCUGGACA